UACGAAGGGGGCUAGCGUUGUUCGGAAUUACUGGGCGUAAAGGGCGCGUAGGCGGUACUUCAAGUCAGGCGUGAAAGCCCCGGGCUCAACCUGGGAACCGCGCUUGAGACUGGCACGCUAGAGUUCGGGAGAGGAUGGUGGAAUUCCCAGUGUAGAGGUGAAAUGCGCAGAUAUCAGGAGGAACACCAAUGGCGAAGGCAGCUCGCUGGGACGGUACUGACGCUGAGGAGCGAAAGCGUGGGGAGCGAACAGG
rnacentral:rRNA from 1 species